GCCUAAAGCGUCCGUAGCCGGCUCUGUAAGUUUUCGGUUAAAUCCAUAUGCUCAACAUGUGGGCCGCCGGGAAUACUGCAUAGCUAGGGAGUGGGAGAGGUAGACGGUACUCCGUAGGAAGGGGUAAAAUCCUUUGAUCUAUGGAUGACCACCUGUGGCGAAGGCGGUCUACCAGAACACGUUCGACGGUGAGGGAUGAAAGCUGGGGGAGCAAACCGGAUUAGAUACCCGGGUAGUCCCAGCUGUAAACUAUGCAAACUCAGUGAUGCAUUGGCUUGUGGCCAGUGCAGUGCCGCAGAGAAGUCGUUAAGUUUGCCGCCUGGGAAGUACGUACGCAAGUAUGAAACUUAAAGGAAUUGGCGGGGGAGCACCACAAGGGGUGAAGCCUGCGGUUCAAUUGGAGUCAACGCCAGAAAUCUUACCCGGAGAGACAGCAGGAUGAAGGUCAAGCUGAAGACUUUACCAGACAAGCUGAGAAGUGGUGCAUGGCCGUCGCCAGCUCGUGCCGUGAGGUGUCCUGUUAAGUCAGGUAACGAGCGAGAUCCUUGCCUCUAGUUGCCACCAUUACUCUCAGGAGUAGUGGGGCGAAUUAGCGGGACUGCCGUAGUUAAUACGGAGGAAGGAGAGGGCCACGGCAGGUCAGUAUGCCCCGAA
rnacentral:rRNA from 1 species